rnacentral:rRNA from 1 species
CUUGGUCAUUUAGAGGAAGUAAAAGUCGUAACAAGGUCUCCGUUGGUGAACCAGCGGAGGGAUCAUUACCGAGUUUACAACUCCCAAACCCCUGUGAACAUACCUUAAUGUUGCCUCGGCGGAUCAGCCCGCGCCCCGUAAAACGGGACGGCCCGCCAGAGGAUCCAAACUCUAAUGUUUCUUAUUGUAACUUCUGAGUAAAACAAACAAAUAAAUCAAAACUUUCAACAACGGAUCUCUUGGUUCUGGCAUCGAUGAAGAACGCAGCAAAAUGCGAUAAGUAAUGUGAAUCGCAGUAUUCAGUGAAUCAUCGAAUCUUUGAACGCACAUUACGCCCGCUGGUAUUCCGGCGGGCAUGCCUGUUCGAGCGUCAUUUCAACCCUCAAACCUCACGGUUUGGUGUUGGGGAUCGGGUUUUCGCAAGAGAACCCGCCCCCUAAAUACAUUGGCGGUCUCGCUGCAGCCUCCAUUGCGUAGUAGCUAACACCUCGCAACUGGAACGCGGCGCGGCCAUGCCGUAAAACCCCAACUUCUGAAUGUUGACCUCG